AUCUUCUGUCAUUACUGACCUUGCCAUAAUAAUGGAGCCCUCAGAAUACUCAGAACUAAGUGACUUUGUGUCUAGAGCAGAAGAAAGAAGAGAUUUAUUCAUGUUUUUCCGAGGCCUGCAUUUUUUUGUGAAGUGGUAUGAGUAUCGUAAGCGCACAUUUAAACAUUUCAAGAGCUGUCUGUCAUGCCACCUUGCUUGGAGCCA